UACGGGGGGGGCAAGCGUUGUUCGGAAUUACUGGGCGUAAAGGGCUCGUAGGCGGCUCGGUAAGUCCGCUCAUGAAAGUCCAGGGGCUCAACCCUGGGACUGCCGGUGGAUACUGUCGAGCUCGGAGUCCGGAAGAGGCGGAGUGGAAUUCCUGGUGUAGCGGUGAAAUGCGCAGAUAUCAGGAGGACACCAUGGCGAAGGCAGCUCGCUGGGACGUGACUGACGCUGAGACGCGAAAGCGUGGGGGAGCAAACAGG
rnacentral:rRNA from 1 species